AAGAAGAUGAGGAAGACGAACCUUAUUCUCUUCAAAGAUUGAAACAAGGCCAAAAACCUUGCAACAGCACUACCACCACAACAGAGUCUUAUUAAGUGUUUAAAGAUUCACUCCUCGCUUAAGCAGCUUCAUGAAGAUCCAUAUGACUUGCUGCAUAAUUUAUACAGUCUUAUGUCUUGCUUGUGCAGCUUCACAGAAAGCAGUAGUCAAAGUGGCCGAAACGUGCAUAACUUACUGCAUAACUUAUGCUGUCUAACGCUUCACUUAUGCAGUGUUACAAAAGGAGCACUCAAACUUGUCGACACUUGCACAACCAGCUGCAUAGUUUAUGUAGUCUGCUUAUGCACUUUCACGGAUGACUCUGAAGCAUGAAAAAUUUGCACAACCAGCCUGCAUAACUUGUGCAGAAUCACGGGAAGCACUUGGAACCACUAAAAUUGCCCAGAAUCUGCAUAGAAAGUUUGCACAACUUGUGCAAUUCUUCAUAAUGAGCUAGCAGAAGAAUUUAUUCGCGUGAAUCCCUUCCUCAAACACACCUUUUUAGGGUUAUUUGUUAGAAAAAUAUAAAUAGUGUCCUUAUCUAAUUUUAGCAAGAGGGAGGAAGAGAAGAAGAAAAGGAAAGAGGUAGAGAAAACGUCAGAAAACAGAGUAAGGGGGCAUUACUUCCCAUUUUUGGAUUAGAUUUGGAUUCUUCAUCUUUUCUUCACCAUUUUCUACCUUUCUUUUAUUGGGUUUCUUAGUUGUUAGUAUAUUUUCAAGUUCAAUUUCUAUAUUUACUUAGAAUCUCUUGUAAUAAUUAUGGAUAGUGAGUAGUUUUUCAUAGAUUCUGGAGUUGGGAUAUAAUAUUUAAAAUAUUUUGUGGAUUUUAAUUGGGAAAUCCAUAUUUUGUGGUUUUUAUGAGGUUUUAUCCAUUUCUUUAGUGCCUAAUUACAUGCUUAGUGUAGAAUCCAAUUAAGUAUUAUUCUUAAUCCAUAGUUGAAGCACCGAAAGGAGAAAACCCUGUGAUAGAUAAUCAAGAACU
rnacentral:misc_RNA from 1 species